GGAGGGUGCUGGCUGGCUGGCUGGCUGGCUGGCUGGCUGGCUGAGGGAGCAACAGGAUCCCGGACAGAGCAGUGCUGGGACUCGGCCAGGACAAGGCCCCGAGGUGCUCAGAGGCUGUGCUGCAGCUCCAGGAUACCAGGUUCUGGGCUGGGCCCAGCACAGGAGAGUCACCCAGCUCCCUCUCUGGGCUCCUCAGGGAAACCCUCUGCCCCCAGCUCCCGCUCCUGCACCUACAUAACCUCACCUGCAAUUCAAGGUUCCUGCUCCAGGAGGCCUUUCUUCCAGGAACUGUGCUCCCCCAGCUGCCUGCCCCCUGAAACACCACUGCUGCUGUGAGCAGCACCAUCACACGAGACAAGAGCUUGGGGGUACCCUGUAUAUGCCCCCUCCCUGCACCCUGAGAUCCAGAGGUCUCCCAGCAUACACAGCAGCAGGUAGUUUGUUCUGUCCUAUUAGUGACUUGCAUCGAGACGGGCUGGGGCCAGAACUUCUCACCUACAAUAGCUGGAGAGCAGGGAUGACCGGACCUGGCCCAAGGGUCAACUGGCAACUACCCAGGAGCUGAAUGGCUGUGAGCACCAAGCAGAAAACAAAGCACCCUGCAGCUAAUCUCAGCUUUGACAUGGUGCUGCAACCUGGUGUGAUUCCAGGUCCCAGCAUGCAAUUCUCUGCCUUGAUCCACCCAUCAUGAUAAAGCCCUACAUUCUUGGACCUGUGGAGUCUGCGGGUUGCACCUCUGUCAAAAGGGAGCAUGGUCCUGGCUUGGCAGUCCAGAGCCGAAUAGAGCAGGACAGUGUGGGUUUGGUGCCUUGGGACCUUGGGUGGGGUUUGGUGUUGUCCAGUUGGCUCUCAGUAGUUCUUUAAGGGAAUGGUGUGAAAUAAACAUCCCAUGGGAAUAGGAGGGGGAUGAGCACAGCAAGGAGAAAAGGUAUGUGGCAGCCUCAGGGCAGCAGCACUCCUGUGAGGAGAGCUGAUGGUGCAAUGUGCCUACAAGGGACU